UCGCUCAACGGAUAAAAGGUACUCCGGGGAUAACAGGCUGAUACCGCCCAAGAGUUCAUAUCGACGGCGGUGUUUGGCACCUCGAUGUCGGCUCAUCACAUCCUGGGGCUGAAGUAGGUCCCAAGGGUAUGGCUGUUCGCCAUUUAAAGUGGUACGCGAGCUGGGUUUAGAACGUCGUGAGACAGUUCGGUCCCUAUCUGCCGUGGGCGCUGGAGAACUGAGGGGGGCUGCUCCUAGUACGAGAGGACCGGAGUGGACGCAUCACUGGUGUUCGGGUUGUCAUGCCAAUGGCACUGCCCGGUAGCUAAAUGCGGAAGAGAUAAGUGCUGAAAGCAUCUAAGCACGAAACUUGCCCCGAGAUGAGUUCUCCCUGACUCCUUGAGAGUCCUGAAGGAACGUUGAAGACGACGACGUUGAUAGGCCGGGUGUGUAAGCGCAGCGAUGCGUUGAGCUAACCGGUACUAAUGAACCGUGAGGCUUAACCUUACAACGCCGAAG
rnacentral:rRNA from 2 species